UACGGAAGGUGCAAGCGUUAAUCGGAAUUACUGGGCGUAAAGCGCACGUAGGCUGCUUUGUAAGUCGGAUGUGAAAGCCCUCGUCCCAACCGGGGAACUGCAUUCGAAACUGCAAGGCUGGAGUCCUGGAGAGGGUGGCGGAAUUCCCGGUGUAGGAGUGAAAUCCGUAGAUAUCGGGAGGAACACCAGUGGCGAAGGCGGCCACCUGGACAGGUACUGACGCUGAGGUGCGAAAGUGUGGGGAGCAAACAGG
rnacentral:rRNA from 1 species